UGGGGCGGAUCGGAUUCACAGCUUGGGAUUCGUUGAAGUGAAACAAAAACACCAGCCCUAUUGCUCCGAAUGGAACAGCAAAGACAGAAGUUGUGAGAUCCAAAGAUCUUAGAGCUCUGCUCUAAGGUCUUUGGUGAGAUCGACACGGAAAUCCAGGCAGAAAAGACCUGCGAUGUUGAGAGACACAUAAUUUUGGGACGUUUGUCAUCAUCAUGGCUGAAGAUGCUGAUUGUGGAGUGGAUGCAGUGACGUCUACAUCAAGUAAACAGACAGAGCUACAGAGUUUGUGAUCGUCUGUCCACAUCAUGGCUGAAGGUGGUACCUGGGGAGGUGAUUCAGUGGCCUCCACAUCAAAGAAACAAAAAGGUGGGAAAUUAACUCAAGUGGGAAAGGUCUUCAAAAGGCUUUGGACAGGCACCUCAUCAAAAGAAGAUGGUCAGAACACAGGAACAACGACAAAAAAGCAAAGUCGGAUUGAGUGCAGAACGUCAAUGGAAUGUGAACCCGCCGAAGAGGAAAGGGAACAAUGUCAGUCCCGAGGGCAAGGGAUAGGGGACGUGGUUCACGACCCUGGAACUGACCCAAGUGGCAAAAUCCAUCAUGACCGAGAUUCAUCAAACAAGGAAUCAUCGAGUCUCAUCCAAGGAGCAGAGCAGCAUAAUAUGGUAACACCUAUCCACACCACGGCUGAAGUUGGAAACAGGACUGCAGCUCCAGAGACCUCAACAAAUAGGACUGACACAGGUGUGUUGCAGAAUUCUUCACGAUAUAAAUGUUGUCGAUAUAUGGUUUGCAUCAGAGUCGUAGAGGCACACGGCAUAGAACAAGGCUCUUCAGCCCACCUUGGACACGGC